rnacentral:rRNA from 1 species
CGGGUGAGUAAUGCGUGACCAACCUGCCCCAUGCUCCAGAAUAGCUCUUGGAAACGGGUGGUAAUGCUGGAUGCUCCAACUUGACGCAUGUCUUGUUGGGAAAGUGUUUAGUGGCAUGGGAUGGGGUCGCGUCCUAUCAGCUUGUAGGCGGGGUAAUGGCCCACCUAGGCUUCGACGGGUAGCCGGCCUGAGAGGGCAGACGGCCACAUUGGGACUGAGAUACGGCCCAGACUCCUACGGGAGGCAGCAGC